UUUGAUAAUGUGACGAGUUAAAUUCUAGUCUAUUGGACCAAAACUCAUCUCCAUUCUAUAUUUUUUUCAAACAAAUAAUACAAAUAUAGAGUCUGACUACUAUAUUUUCGGUCGUGAAAUUCCCUGCGUAGUCUGAAUUCUAUAUUUUCGACCGUGAAAUUUACCCUUUGAUCAUUUUCACCCGUUAGAUCAUACUAUUCAACCAACAACUCAUUUAACCCUAGGGAACCAUAAUUACAGUUACAUUAAACCUACAUUAAACCUACAUUUACAUUUACAUUACAUUACAUUAAAACUAGAUUUACAUUACACAAUUACAGUACAUUAAACCUACAUUUACAUUUACAUUACAUUACAUUAAAACUAGAUUUACAUUACACAAUUACAGUACAUUAAACCUACAUUUACAUUAAACCUACACUAGAAAACACACCUGAGAGAGGGAUGGG
rnacentral:lncRNA from 1 species